GACGAACGCUGGCGGCGUGCCUAAUACAUGCAAGUCGAGCGGACUGAUUAAGAGCUUGCUCUUAUGACGUUAGCGGCGGACGGGUGAGUAACACGUGGGCAACCUGCCCUGUAGAUCGGGAUAACACCGAGAAAUCGGUGCUAAUACCGGGUAAUAUCUGAGAUCACAUGAUCUUAGGUUAAAAGAUGGCUCCGGCUAUCACUACAGGAUGGGCCCGCGGCGCAUUAGCUAGUUGGUAAGGUAAUGGCUUACCAAGGCGACGAUGCGUAGCCGACCUGAGAGGGUGAUCGGCCACACUGGGACUGAGACACGGCCCAGACUCCUACGGGAGGCAGCAGUAGGGAAUCUUCCGAAAUGGACGAAAGUCUGACGGAGCAACGCCGCGUGAGUGAUGAAGGGUUUCGGCUCGUAAAGCUCUGUUGUUAGGGAAGAAACAGUACCGAACGAACUAGGUCGGUACCUUGACGGUACCUAACCAGAAAGCCACGGCUAACUACGUG
rnacentral:rRNA from 1 species